UCAAUAGUUACUGAUUUAUCGCAGUUUUUGUGUUAUUGUAAAUUACCGUUAUAUGGUAGGUGCGCGUAGUCAUUGCCCGGUUUCGAAUAUUUUAAACUGAUGAAGUUAAGAAAC